rnacentral:rRNA from 1 species
CAGCAGCCGCGGUAAUACGUAGGGGGCGAGCGUUACCCGGAAUCACUGGGCGUAAAGGGAGCGUAGGUGGCCUAACAUGUCAACUGUGAAAACCCGGAGCUCAACUCCGGACUUGCAGUUGAAACUGGUAGGCUUGAGGACGGUAGAGGAAGACGGAACUGCCAGUGUAGGGGUAAAAUCCUUAGAUAUUGGCAGGAACGCCGGUGACGAAGGUGGUUUUCUGGGCCGGUUCUGACACUGAUGCUCGAAAGCCAGGGGAGCGAACGGGAUUAGAUACCCCGGUAGUCCUGGCCCUAAACGAUGUUCACUAGGUGUGGGGAGCGGAAAGCCCUCCGUGCUAAAGCUAACGCGAUAAGUGAACCGCCUGGGGAGUACGCCCGCAAGGGUGAAACUCAAAGGAAUUGACGGGGACCCGCACAAGCGGUGGAGCGUGUGGUUUAAUUCGAUGCUAAGCGAAGGACCUUACCAAGGUUUGACAUGCUAAUGGUAGUGAAUUGAAAGAGGAACGACCACACUAUGUGUGGAGUUAGCACAGGAGGUGCAUGGCC